AUUGAACGCUGGCGGCAGGCCUAACACAUGCAAGUCGAGCGGAGCGGCGGACGGGUGAGUAAUGUCUAGGAAUCUGCCUGGUAGUGGGGGAUAACGUCCGGAAACGGGCGCUAAUACCGCAUACUAUCAGAUGAGCCUAGGUCGGAUUAGCUAGUUGGUGGGGUAAAGGCCAACCAAGGCGACGAUCCGUAACUGGUCUGAGAGGAUGAUCAGUCACACGGGAACGGAGACAGGGGCCAGAUGCCAACGGGGGGCAGCGUUGGGGAAUGUGGGACAAGGGGCGAAAGCCUGAGCCAGCCAGGCCGGUUGGUGGAGAAAGGUUUGCGGAUUGUAAAGCGCUUUAAGUGGGGAGGCGUUACCAAAAGAAUAAGCAACGGCUAACUACGUGCCAGCCGCCGCGGUAAUAC
rnacentral:rRNA from 1 species